GGGUACUUGUACCUGGUGGCGAGCGGCGGACGGGUGAGUAAUGCCUAGGAAUCUGCCUGGUAGUGGGGGAUAACGCUCGGAAACGGACGCUAAUACCGCAUACGUCCUACGGGAGAAAGCAGGGGACCUUCGGGCCUUGCGCUAUCAGAUGAGCCUAGGUCGGAUUAGCUAGUUGGUGAGGUAAUGGCUCACCAAGGCGACGAUCCGUAACUGGUCUGAGAGGAUGAUCAGUCACACUGGAACUGAGACACGGUCCAGACUCCUACGGGAGGCAGCAGUGGGGAAUAUUGGACAAUGGGCGAAAGCCUGAUCCAGCCAUGCCGCGUGUGUGAAGAAGGUCUUCGGAUUGUAAAGCACUUUAAGUUGGGAGGAAGGGCAGUUACCUAAUACGUGAUUGUUUUGACGUUACCGACAGAAUAAGCACCGGCUAACUCUGUGCCAGCAGCCGCGGUAAUACAGAGGGUGCAAGCGUUAAUCGGAAUUACUGGGCGUAAAGCGCGCGUAGGUGGUUUGUUAAGUUGGAUGUGAAAUCCCCGGGCUCAACCUGGGAACUGCAUCCA
rnacentral:rRNA from 1 species